rnacentral:rRNA from 1 species
UGGGGAAUAUUGGACAAUGGGCGAAAGCCUGAUCCAGCAACGCCGCGUGAGGGAUGACGGCCUUCGGGUUGUAAACCUCUUUCAGCGCAGACGAAGCGAAAGUGACGGUAUGCGCAGAAGAAGCACCGGCCAACUACGUGCCAGCAGCCGCGGUAAUACGUAGGGUGCAAGCGUUGUCCGGAAUUAUUGGGCGUAAAGGGCUCGUAGGCGGUUUGUCGCGUCGGGAGUGAAAACUCAGGGCUUAACCCUGAGCCUGCUUCCGAUACGGGCAGACUAGAGGUAUGCAGGGGAGAACGGAAUUCCUGGUGUAGCGGUGAAAUGCGCAGAUAUCAGGAGGAACACCGGUGGCGAAGGCGGUUCUCUGGGCAUUACCUGACGCUGAGGAGCGAAAGUGUGGGGAGCGAACA